rnacentral:miRNA from 1 species
AGGUCAAGUCGGAUUGGCACAGA